UUCUGUGUAUCAAAUCUUUGUUGCUUCCCGCAUGGUGUGGCCUGCAAAGGCUACCCUGUGGGAAGGAUAUGAUAAACUCUUGUUGUUGUGUCAUUAGUCUGAGUGGUAAACACAUGAAACAAGUUAAAACUUUCAACAACGGAUCUCUUGGUUCUCGCAUCGAUGAAGAACGCAGCGAAAUGCGAUAAGUAGUGUGAAUUGCAGAAUUCAGUGAAUCAUCGAAUCUUUGAACGCACAUUGCGCCUUCUGGUAUUCCGGGAGGCAUGCCUGUUCGAGCGUCAUCAAACACAUCCUCAAGCACUUUUGCUUGGUAUUGGUGGCAGAUGUCCGCAUCUCCUCUUAAAUUCCUCAGCGGAAACUACUGCGGUCUCAGGUGUCAUAAGAUUACCUUUCGCUUGAUAACUGCCGGUAGGUUCUUGCUGUGAAGAGCCCCCCAGCUAUUCUUUUACGUUUGACCUCGAAUCAGGU
rnacentral:rRNA from 1 species